GCUCAGGACGAACGCUGGCGGCGUGCCUAAUACAUGCAAGUCGAGCGGACAGAAGGGAGCUUGCUCCCGGAUGUUAGCGGCGGACGGGUGAGUAACACGUGGGUAACCUGCCUGUAAGACUGGGAUAACUCCGGGAAACCGGAGCUAAUACCGGAUAGUUCCUUGAACCGCAUGGUUCAAGGAUGAAAGACGGUUUCGGCUGUCACUUACAGAUGGACCCGCGGCGCAUUAGCUAGUUGGUGAGGUAACGGCUCACCAAGGCGACGAUGCGUAGCCGACCUGAGAGGGUGAUCGGCCACACUGGGACUGAGACACGGCCCAGACUCCUACGGGAGGCAGCAGUAGGGAAUCUUCCGCAAUGGACGAAAGUCUGACGGAGCAACGCCGCGUGAGUGAUGAAGGUUUUCGGAUCGUAAAGCUCUGUUGUUAGGGAAGAACAAGUGCAAGAGUAACUGCUUGCACCUUGACGGUACCUAACCAGAAAGCCACGGCUAACUACGUGCCAGCAGCCGCGGUAAUACGUAGGUGGCAAGCGUUGUCCGGAAUUAUUGGGCGUAAAGGGCUCGCAGGCGGUUUCUUAAGUCUGAUGUGAAAGCCCCCGGCUCAACCGGGGAGGGUCAUUGGAAACUGGGAAACUUGAGUGCAGAAGAGGAGAGUGGAAUUCCACGUGUAGCGGUGAAAUGCGUAGAGAUGUGGAGGAACACCAGUGGCGAAGGCGACUCUCUGGUCUGUAACUGACGCUGAGGAGCGAAAGCGUGGGGAGCGAACAGGAUUAGAUACCCUGGUAGUCCACGCCGUAAACGAUGAGUGCUAAGUGUUAGGGGGUUUCCGCCCCUUAGUGCUGCAGCUAACGCAUUAAGCACUCCGCCUGGGGAGUACGGUCGCAAGACUGAAACUCAAAGGAAUUGACGGGGGCCCGCACAAGCGGUGGAGCAUGUGGUUUAAUUCGAAGCAACGCGAAGAACCUUACCAGGUCUUGACAUCCUCUGACAACCCUAGAGAUAGGGCUUUCCCUUCUGGGACAGAGUGACAGGUGGUGCAUGGUUGUCGUCAGCUCGUGUCGUGAGAUGUUGGGUUAAGUCCCGCAACGAGCGCAACCCUUGAUCUUAGUUGCCAGCAUUCAGUUGGGCACUCUAAGGUGACUGCCGGUGACAAACCGGANGAAGGUGGGGAUGACGUCAAAUCAUCAUGCCCCUUAUGACCUGGGCUACACACGUGCUACAAUGGACAGAACAAAGGGCUGCGAGACCGCAAGGUUUAGCCAAUCCCACAAAUCUGUUCUCAGU
rnacentral:rRNA from 1 species